rnacentral:lncRNA from 1 species
AGUACAAUCUGCUGCCCAGGACCUGGACAUUGACAGAUAAAAUGAAGUGGGUCAGUUAACUACAGAGGGAAGAAUAUGAAGAACUGCUUCAUUAUGCUAUAGUGACUCCAAAUAUUGAACCCUGUGCUUCACAGUCAUCUCAUCCUAAGGGAGAAUUGGUGCCAGAUGUCAGAAUUUCUACAAUUCAUGAUAUUCUUCAUAGUCAAGGAAAUAACUCUGAAGUAAGAGAAACUGCAAUAGAAGUUGGAAAAGGAUGUGAUUUCCAUAUUUCAAGUCAUUCAAAGACAGAUGCUACAACUUUUCUUUUAUUCAGAGUCAUCACCAGUGUUAUCGCCAAGGAAGCCUUCUCACCCAGUCAUGGAUUUUUUCAGUUCACAUCUUUUAGCUGACUCUUCCUCACCAGCAACAAAUUCUAGUCAUACAGAUGCCCAUGAAAUACUUGUGAGCGAUUUUCUUGUUUCUGAUGAAAACCUUCAGAAGAUGGAAAAUGUGCUUGAUCUUUGGAGUUCAGGUCUUAAGACAAACAUCAUAUCUGAACUAAGUAAAUGGAGACUUAAUUUUAUUGACUGGCACCGAAUGGAAAUGAGAAAAGAGAAAGAAAAACAUGCAGCACAUUUAAAACAACUGUGUAAUCAGAUCAAUGAAUUGAAGGAGCUGCAAAAAACCUUUGAAAUCUCCAUUGGGAGAAAAGA